CAUCCAUUCCGCGUGCAGGACGAAGGCCUUCGGGUUGUAAACUGCUUUUGUACAGAACGAAAAGCUUGGGUUAAUACCCUGAGGUCAUGACGGUACUGUAAGAAUAAGCACCGGCUAACUACGUGCCAGCAGCCGCGGUAAUACGUAGAGUGCAAGCGUUAAUCGGAAUUACUGGGCGUAAAGCGUGCGCAGGCGGUUUUGUAAGACAGAGGUGAAAUCCCCGGGCUCAACCUGGGAACUGCCUUUGUGACUGCAAGGCUAGAGUGCGGCAGAGGGGGAUGGAAUUCCGCGUGUAGCAGUGAAAUGCGUAGAUAUGCGGAGGAACACCGAUGGCGAAGGCAAUCCCCUGGGCCUGCACUGACGCUCAUGCACGAAAGCGUGGGGAGCAAACAGGAUUAGAUACCCUGGUAGUCCACGCCCUAAACGAUGUCAACUGGUUGUUGGGUCUUCACUGACUCAGUAACGAAGCUAACGCGUGAAGUUGACCGCCUGGGGAGUACGGCCGCAAGGUUGAAACACAAAGGAAUUGACGGGGACCCGCACAAGCGGUGGAUGAUGUGGUUUAAUUCGAUGCAACGCGAAAAAUCUUAACCAACUUUGACAUGGC
rnacentral:rRNA from 1 species